rnacentral:rRNA from 1 species
UACAGAGGUCUCAAGCGUUGUUCGGAUUCAUUGGGCGUAAAGGGUGCGUAGGCGGCCAGGUAGGUCUGCUGUGAAAACUCGAGGCUCAACCUCGAGAUGUCGGCGGAAACCAUCUGGCUAGAGUCCGGAAGAGGAGAGUGGAAUUCCUGGUGUAGCGGUGAAAUGCGCAGAUAUCAGGAAGAACACCCGUGGCGAAGGCGGCUCUCUGGGACGGUACUGACGCUGAGACGCGAAAGCGUGGGGAGCGAACAGG